rnacentral:rRNA from 1 species
GUGUCAGCAGCCGCGGUAAUACGUAGGGUGCGAGCGUUAAUCGGAAUUACUGGGCGUAAAGUGUGCGCAGGCGGCUUCGCAAGUCGAGUGUGAAAUCCCCGAGCUUAACUUGGGAAUUGCGCUCGAAACUACGGAGCUGGAGUGUGGCAGAGGAAGGUGGAAUUCCACGUGUAGCGGUGAAAUGCGUAGAGAUGUGGAGGAACACCGAUGGCGAAGGCAGCCUUCUGGGCCAACACUGACGCUCAUGCACGAAAGCGUGGGGAGCAAACAGGAUUAGAUACCCUGGUAGUCC